UCCUCCACUCGGCUCACUUGGUGAUGGGUA
rnacentral:piRNA from 1 species